CCACGGUUUUAAUUUGUACCAUUCGUAUUGGCAAACAGCUUCGUAAAUGCCUUCGGACUUGAUGAAUAAUAUUUCAAUGAAAUAACACCCCAGUAUACAAUAUAGACUCAUGUGCCCAAAUGUGAUGGUAAAACCAAACAGGAACAAAAGCAAUCGUCCCAUAGAAAGAUUGCGACCUUGCGUUGUUAUCUAGGCA